rnacentral:rRNA from 1 species
GACAGAGGGUGCAAACGUUGCUCGGAAUUACUGGGCGUAAAGCGCGUGUAGGUGGCCACGCAAGUCAGGUGUGAAAGCCCUGGGCUCAACCCAGGAAGUGCACAUGAUACUACGUGGCUGGAGUACUGAAGAGGAGAGCGGAAUUCCCGGUGUAGAGGUGAAAUUCGUAGAUAUUCGCAAGAACACCAGUGGCGAAGGCGGCU